UCGUAGUUGAAUCUGUGUCCCGCGCUGUCGGUUCACCGCCCGCGGUGUUUAACUGGCACGUCCGCGGGACGUCCUGCCGGUGGGCCCGUCCUGUGCGUUUCGGCGUACGGCGGCCCGACUCACAAUCCCGCUUCGGUGCUCUUGACUGAGUGUCGAGGUGGGCCGGCACGUUUACUUUGAACAAAUUAGAGUGCUCAAAGCAGGCCGAAAUCACGCCUGAAUACUGUGUGCAUGGAAUAAUGGAACAGGACCUCGGUUCUAUUUUGUUGGUUUUCGGAAUUCCGAGGUAAUGAUUAAUAGGGACAGAUGGGGGCAUUCGUAUUGCGACGUUAGAGGUGAAAUUCUUGGAUCG
rnacentral:rRNA from 1 species